ACCUUCCUUUAGCGCUGCUGCUUCCCUUUACCGGCCGGUGCAUCAUCUGUGAAGGCCGGUAAAGGGAAGCAGCAGCGCUAAAGGAAGGU
rnacentral:pre_miRNA from 1 species